AUGGCCGUUCUUAGUUCGUGGAGUGAUUUGUCUGGUUAAUUCCGAUAACGAACGAGACUCAAAUAUAUUAAAUAGAUAUCUUCAGGAUUAUGGUGCUGAAGCUUAUGUAGCCUUCAUUCAUGGUGGCAGUAAAAUGUUUAUUGUGUUUGAAUGUGUUUAUGUAAGUGGAGCCGUACCUGUUGGUUUGUCCCAUUAUAAGGACACUAGCUUCUUAAAUGGACAAAUUGCGUCUAGCAAUAAUGAGAUUGAGCAAUAACAGGUCUGU
rnacentral:rRNA from 1 species